GACGAACGCUGGCGGCGUGCUUAACACAUGCAAGUCGAACGGGCCCGCUCUCUUUUUUGGGGGUGGGUUGAGUGGCGAACGGGUGAGUAUCACGUGAGUAACCUGCCCCCUGCUCCUGGAUAACUGCUUGAAAGGGCGGCUAAUACGGGGUGUGCCGGCUGGUCCGCAUGGGCCUGGGCGGGAUAGUUUCAUCUUCGGGUGUUUCGGUGGGGGAUGGGCUCGCGGCCUAUAAGCUUGUUGGUGGGGUGUUGGCCCACCAAGGCGGUGACGGGUAGCCGGCCUGAGAGGGUGGGCGGCCACACUGGGACUGAGACACGGCCCAGACUCCUGCGGGAGGCAGCAGUGGGGGGUAUUGCACAAUGGGCGGAAGCCUGAUGCAGCGACGUCGCGUGAGGGAUGGAGGCCUUCGGGUUGUGAACCUCUUUCUCCGGUGGUGAAGGCCCUGUCCGUUGCGGCGGGGUUGACGGUAGCCGGGUAUGAAGCGCCGGCUAACUACGUG
rnacentral:rRNA from 1 species